rnacentral:lncRNA from 1 species
AUGUCACUGCCAUUGUCACCUCUAGCCAGGGUUCCAUCUGAGAUCACAAACCCUCCACAGCCCUUGGGACCUCCUGCUCCCUUUUCAGACAGGCAGGUCUCUGUGAUGUCCCGGAGAGAGGGGGACUCCAGAGAAAGACUGGCAGGAGACUCCUGGAGCAAUAAGAGUGGCAGCCAGAAUCCAGAGAGACACCAGAGGGCCUGGAAUCCCCCCAGGGAAACAGGGAGUCCCUGUCUCGACAGAGAUGCUCAGGACCUGUUCAUGGUGUGCCGUGUGGUGGCGCAAGAGAUGUCGGAGCGCCUCAAGACUGACUGCUCAUGCCCACCUCCCAAGCUUGGUGGGACUAUGUGGAGGAAGCGGAGGAAACUGGACGCCAUUGAACUGGCGUAUUGGGGCGAGGGCCGCAUUCGUAAAGGACUCUACUCCUGGGCUCGAGCUAUCCUCCUGCCUCAGCCUCCCAAGCAGCUGGGACUAGAGGCAAGUGCCGCGGUGCCCAGCAAUAAAGGACUUUCAAAUAUGCAGACAGAGGACUAAUCAGGAGUUUCACCUCCAGAAUUUCAAUGAAAACCAACCAUGGUGAACUGUGUUUCUAUCAUGCACCAGAAUCUACAUUCACACCUCUUUGUAUACUGAAACUUCCAUUCAAAAAAAUGGGCGGGACGCACUGCAGGGGGUUUUGCCCGCCUGCUUCUAUCUGCAGGAAGAAGGAAGUCAUGUGACCUAGACCUGGCCAUACUGAUUGGCUUUUGGAUAGGCACAUGACCCAUCUGGGCCAAUCAGAGUUUUCCUUAAAACUUUUGUGCUGAAAAUAUAGCAAAAGACCCCACUAGCUGCAUUUGCUGAGCUGAUGGCCCCUGUGAACUCCUGUAGAAGGUGCCUGAGAAAGAUAUGAAGCCGCAAAGAUAUGGAGCCCCUCUGGCAAUACGUGAGCUCCAUCUACAGCUGGAGGGAAGCUGUACUGACUCCCUGCAAUGUACAGUGAUGGGAACAAUAAAUUUCUGCUUAAACCAGUUUUCCUUGUAUGUGUGUUGCUUCUCACAGAGUGCUAAGAAAUAAGAACACUACUUUCUCUGCAGAAUGCCUGGGCCUGGGAUGAACAAUUUGUAUAGAUUCUCACAUAGGGUCCUCACAAUCCCAUUUGGCAGGUGGAGAAACUGAGGCUCAGCAGAGUAAGGAGAUUUGCCCUGAUAAAACUGGCACUAUGUGCUCAGGGACUCAAACCUGGAGCUAAUUCUUGGAUGUCUGGGUGGCCACUUAAGUGCAACUUGUCCAAAUCUGAAUUCAGGAACCUUUCCCCCAACCUGAUUUCCCUCUGGCAUCCUCCAUCUGUCAGUUCUAGAAGCCAGGUCUCAACCUCAUUCCUUGAGCCACACCUCAGGCUCAAGAAGCCCUCAGAUCAACUUGCUUGAUGGGCCCAGAACCAGUUCAUUUGCCUCCCUGUCUCCUCUCCAUCCCUGCCCAAGCCCCCCUCCCUCAGUCUUCUUGAGCUGCCCCCUCCUGGUUCUCCUACAUCCAUCUUCACCCCUUCUCCCAACCCAACUCCCCUCAGCAUCUAGAGGAACCGUCUUAAAAUACCAAUCAGC